AAGGAUCGGUGCUAUUGAAAAACUGUCUAACUAUCCUACGAAAGUGAGACGAUGGUCUUCAGGCCACAAUCAUAGCACUUUUCAAGGGGGAUAAUUCUACCACAUGGAGGAAAGCUGACAGCAUUCAGACAUAAACUGGAAUAACGAGGCUGGAGGAAAUCAUUGCAAAAGAGCAAAGGCUGUAGCCCCAAGAGGGGACAGCAGAACCUUAAGCAGCCCUUCAGGAAGCUGCUGACUGAAGUCAUGAAUAUCCUGCCCCAUGAAAGUGAAAAUACCUUUGCUUGUUUAGAAAAACAGAUAAACAACAAGACGUAUGCUA